CACAUUGGCACAGGAGACAGCCUGGAGCUGGCUGGAGGGGGAGAGAGAGUGUGGCAGCUUUCCAGGACAUUUGUCCUGGGGGAGCGACACCUCUGUUCGUUCCCCAAAGGUCCUGAAGCUGGGGAGCCAGGAAGGAUGAAGGAAGCAGGGGUCUCAGCAUGUGACGAGAUCUGAGAGGAAGCCAUCAUCCCUGCAUUCCACUCCUGCCACAGCGCCACCCCAUGAAGGCACUUAGGGGUAGUCAAGACAGUGACUCUCCAGGCCCAUCUCUCCUUGAACUGGCUUGAUGUCACCAACCGGACAAGCAACAGGCAUCGCCAACUGGCAGGUCCGAGGAUGUGGAGAAAAGAGCUCGCCCCUUCCCUGCUUGUGGGAGCUGUCGCCGCUGCGGAAAACGGUGUGGCCGCUCCUCAGACAGAAAGUUACCCCGUGACCCCAGCUAUUCACCCCUAGGUACAUACCCAAGAGAAAUGAAAACUUACAGCCACAAAAGCUUACACAUGAAGGUGGAACCCCGUGUCCUGGUCUCUGAGGAAGACAGUGAGGGGUGGCAGCUGUCACAGGGCUGGAAUCGAGGAGCGGGCCUGUCUCGGCAGCCGGGCGAGCAGGGCCACCCCUGCAGGCAGUCAGCUCAGCCCCAGCAGCUCAGCUCUCCCCACGUGGGGAAAGCGGCCAAGAUCACAGGCCUGCCCGUGGCUGGAGAGCGCCCAGCACCGACAGCAGGCUGGCCAAGUUCGCCUCCACAUCGCAAAAUGUCCAAGCGAGUCUGGAUCCGGGAGAUGAGCUCCCCAAACUCUGUGUCCAUUAUGCACAAAUGGCUUUUCAGCCACUUUAAAGUCCAUGGCCCGGCUGCCACUACCUGUGGGUGACCUUGGGCAGGCUAACAUGGCUUUGCUAGGUCUCGGCUUUGUCACCUGUGAAUUGGGGCUAAUCACGUCUACUUACAAGGAUUAACUAAAACCAUGUGUAUAAAGCACUUCUUAGUGGUGCUUGGUAAAUAGUAGGCGUUCCCUAAAUGUUGUUUUAUUGUUGUUAUUGCUUUCCUAUUGUGCUUCUGCAAGCUUCUGCUGGGCUGGUUACAGCACAAAAACGUGUGGAACCUGUACCCACAUACAAGAUAUAUGUGAGGACAGCUUCAUCAGAGGGGGGGAGAAUGAGGCCCCUGGGCCAUCCUCUCGGGGCCCCCCCCAAAGGGAGACAGCCGCCAGCUGGCGGAGGGCUCACCUUCAUCCAGCCACGCAUCCCUCCCCACGGCGGCACCGGGUUUAUGAGAUCUACUCAGGUGAGGGGAAAGCUGGCCCAUGUCUUUCUCGCAUCGUUCAGCGAGAGUGCACCCCACUCUGAGAGCCGCGAGAGGCAGGCUUUCCUGAGGAUUUGCACACCUGCCUGGGGAGGGUGAGCAGCUGGGUCUGCUUACACCUUUCUCAAGGCAAUCAAGUAUUUGA